ensembl:snRNA U6 U6 spliceosomal RNA
GUGCGCUCUUCAGCAACACGUAUGCUUAAAGUAGAACAGUAUAGAGAAAAUUAGCAUGGUCCCUGCUCAGGGAUGGCACGCAAAUUCAUGAUGCAUUCCAUAUUUUU